UUGGUUGUAUGCGUUGAUCCUAUCCGCCUCGGACUGUUCGCGGCCACGUGCCUAUAUAUAAACCACGUCAGCUUCCCACCGGCCGCAGGAAGAAUCGAUCGCGAUGGAGAUUAUGCAAUAGCUCGCCGCCGCCGCCGCCACGGCAACGGCCCUGUGGAGGCCUCCAUCGCGACGCUGCAUGGCAAGAAGCAGCACCUCCGCGAGGCCUACAGCCUUGUCCUCCACUCGCCCAUCCUCCUCCCCUUCCGUUGGUCCGACCUUGACUCCCACGGUCCCACCUCUCCUCCCUCCAAUCCUGCACGCCCGCUUCCGCCAGCUGCCCUCCAGGCUUCCCUCCCCGCGGCCCCCGCCGCCGCCGGGAGCCACGGCGAGGACGUUGAGAUGGAGGACGUCUAG
rnacentral:lncRNA from 1 species